rnacentral:misc_RNA from 1 species
GAUGAAGAACGCAGUGAAAUGCGAUAAGUAAUGCGAAUUGCAGAAUUUCCGUGAGUCAUCGAAUCUUUGAACGCACAUUGCGCCCCCUGGUAUUCCGGGGGGCAUGCCUGUCCGAGCGUCAUUGCUGCCCUCAAGCACGGCUUGUGUGUUGGGCCUCCGUCCUCCUCCCGGGGGACGGGCCCGAAAGGCAGCGGCGGCACCGCGUCCGGUCCUCGAGCGUAUGGGGCUUCGUCACCCGCUCUUGUAGGCCCGGUCGGCGCUUGCCGACACAUCAAUCUUUUUUCCAGGUUGACCUCGGAUCAGGUAGGGAUACCCGCUGAACUUAAGCAUAUCAAUAAGCGGAGGA